rnacentral:rRNA from 1 species
GACGAACCGUACAAACGUUCUUCGGAAUCACUGGGCUUAAAGGGUGCGUAGGCGGCGCGGAAAGUAGGGUGUGAAAUCCCUCGGCUCAACCGAGGAAUUGCGCCCUAAACUACCGUGCUCGAGGGAGAUAGAGGUGAGCGGAACUUAGGGUGGAGCGGUGAAAUGCGUUGAUAUCCUAAGGAACACCGGUGGCGAAAGCGGCUCACUGGAUCUCUUCUGACGCUGAGGCACGAAAGCUAGGGUAGCGAACGGG